CAAGUAAAAACAAACCAAAAGGAUCAAUAAAAAAGGCAAAAGCGAAAAAGAAAAAAUAGGUAGAUCAUUAU
rnacentral:ribozyme from 16 species